rnacentral:rRNA from 1 species
UACGUAGGGUCCGAGCGUUGUCCGGAAUUAUUGGGCGUAAAGGGCUCGUAGGCGGUCUGUUGCGUCGGGAGUGAAAAUUCACAGCUUAACUGUGAACUUGCUUCCGAUACGGGCAGACUUGAGGUAUUCAGGGGAGAACGGAAUUCCUGGUGUAGCGGUGAAAUGCGCAGAUAUCAGGAGGAACACCGGUGGCGAAGGCGGCCCUCUGGACGGUGACUGACGCUGAGACGCGAAAGCGUGGGGAGCAAACAGG